rnacentral:piRNA from 1 species
UAUAGAAUUUUGAUUGUCAUU